rnacentral:rRNA from 1 species
GUGGGGAAUUUUGGACAAUGGGCGCAAGCCUGAUCCAGCAAUGCCGCGUGCAGGAAGAAGGCCUUCGGGUUGUAAACUGCUUUUGUACGGAACGAAACGGUCCGGGUUAAUACCCUGGGCUAAUGACGGUACCGUAAGAAUAAGCACCGGCUAACUCUGUGCCAGCAGCCGCGGUAAUACGUAGGGUGCAAGCGUUAAUCGGAAUUACUGGGCGUAAAGCGUGCGCAGGCGGUUAUGUAAGACAGAGGUGAAAUCCCCGGGCUCAACCUGGGAACUGCCUUUGUGACUGCAUAGCUGGAGUGCGGCAGAGGGGGAUGGAAUUCCGCGUGUAGCAGUGAAAUGCGUAGAUAUGCGGAGGAACACCGAUGGCGAAGGCAAUCCCCUGGGCCUGCACUGACGCUCAUGCACGAAAGCGUGGGGAGCAAACAGGAUUAGAAACCCGGGUAGUCC